GUUUUGAUUCUGCUCAGGAUGAACACUAGCUACAGGCUUAACACAUGCAAGUCGCGGGGCAUCAUGGAGGUUGCUUGCAAUUUCUGAUGGCGACCGGCGCACGGGUGAGUAACGCGUAUCCAACCUUCCCAUUACUACGGCAUACCCCGUUGAAAGGCGGCCUAAUUCCGUAUGCAGUCCGAAGCAGUCAUCUAAUUUGGACGAAAGGUAUAUUCUAUCGGUAAUGGAUGGGGAUGCGUCCGAUUAGCCAGCCGGCGGGGUAACGGCCCACCGGGGCAUCGAUCGGUAGGGGUUCUGAGAGGAAGGUCCCCCACACUGGAACUGAGACACGGUCCAGACUCCUACGGGAGGCAGCAGUGAGGAAUAUUGGUCAAUGGGCGUAAGCCUGAACCAGCCAAGUAGCGUGCAGGAUGACGGCCCUAUGGGUUGUAAACUGCUUUUAUGCGGGGAUAAAGUUGGGGACGUGUCCCUUUUUGCAGGUACCGCAUGAAUAAGGACCGGCUAAUUCCGUGCCAGCAGCCGCGGUAAUACGGAAGGUCCGGGCGUUAUCCGGAUUUAUUGGGUUUAAAGGGAGCGUAGGCAGUUUUUUAAGCGUGCUGUGAAAUGUACCGGCUCAACCGGUGAUGUGCAGCGCGAACUGGGAAUCUUGAGUACGCAGUAAGCAGGCGGAAUUCGUGGUGUAGCGGUGAAAUGCUUAGAUAUCACGAAGAACUCCGAUUGCGUAGGCGGCUUGCUGUAGCGUAACUGACGCUGAAGCUCG
rnacentral:rRNA from 1 species